rnacentral:rRNA from 1 species
UAGUCCACGCCGUAAACGAUGGACACUAGUUGUUGGGGCUUGCCUCAGUGACUAAGCGAAAGUGAUAAGUGUCCCACCUGGGGAGUACGGUCGCAAGAUUGAAACUCAAAGGAAUUGACGGGGGCCCGCACAAGCGGUGGAGCAUGUGGUUUAAUUCGAUGAUACGCGAGGAACCUUACCAGGGCUUAAAUGUAGGAUGCAUUAGCUAGAGAUAGCUAUUUCUUCGGACUUCUUACAAGGUGCUGCAUGGUUGUCGUCAGCUCGUGUCGUGAGAUGUUGGGUUAAGUCCCGCAACGAGCGCAACCCUUAUUUUUAGUUGUCAUUUGGAACUCUAGAAAGACUGCCGGUUAUAAACCGGAGGAAGGCGGGGAUGACGUCAAGUCAGCAUGCCCCUUANACCCUGGGCUACACACGUGCUACAAUGGGCAAGACAAUUAGUUGCAAGCUUGUGAAAGUUAGCUAAAUCUCUAAAACUUGUUCUAAGUUCGGAUUGUAGGCUGCAACUCGCCUACA